rnacentral:lncRNA from 1 species
GAGGGAUUGUUAGUUAAUUUAAUUAUUUGUUUUUUAAUAUGUUUAAAAGACUUAGUCUUUACAGGUGUUGUUAGUCCUGUUAGUUUGUUUAGUGGGUAGCUAGUUUAUAGGAAUUUUAAGUUCGUGGCUUUGUUGAAUUGUUCUGCUGUACUGACUAUUUAUAAGGCUAUCUAUUUUCAAUAAAACUUCACUCUCUCCAAUUCAGUUAUCA